AUCCUCUCAGGGUUGCACCUGGAGACUUUCCAGUACUAUACCAGUCUCGGCUUUAGGAGGAAGAGUAGAGUAGAGGCCUAUCCAUUCCAUUACUAGCUUGGACAGUGGCUAGUUAGUGGAAGGCAAUCUGCUACAAGU